rnacentral:tRNA from 1 species
GCAUUCGUAGCUCAGUUGGUAGAGCAGCUGACUCUUAAUCAGCGGGUCAGGGGUUCGAGUCCCCUCGAGUGUACAA